UUAGCUAGUUGGUGAGGUAACGGCCCACCAAGGCAAAGAUGGGUAGCUGGUCUGAGAGGAUGGCCAGCCACACUGGAACUGAGACACGGCCCAGACUCCUACGGGAGGCAGCAGUGGGGAAUUUUCCGCAAUGGGCGAAAGCCUGACGGAGCAACGCCGCGUGAGGGAUGAAGGCCUCUGGGCUGUAAACCUCUUUUAUCAAGGAAGAAGAUCUGACGGUACUUGAUGAAUAAGCCACGGCUAAUUCCGUGCCAGCAGCCGCGGUAAUACGGGAGUGGCAAGCGUUAUCCGGAAUUAUUGGGCGUAAAGCGUCCGCAGGCGGUCUUUUAAGUCUGUCGUCAAAGCGUGGAGCUUAACUCCAUUACUGCGAUGGAAACUGGAAGACUAGAGUGUGGUAGGGGCAGAGGGAAUUCCCGGUGUAGCGAUGAAAUGCGUAGAUAUCGGGAAGAACACCAGUGGCGAAGGCGCUCUGCUGGGCCAUAACUGACGCUCAUGGACGAAAGCGUGGGGAGCGAACGGGAUUAGAUACCCCGGUAGUCCACGCCCUA
rnacentral:rRNA from 1 species